GAUGAACGCUAGCGGCGUGCCUAAUACAUGCAAGUCGAGCGAACGGACGAGAAGCUUGCUUCUCUGAUGUUAGCGGCGGACGGGUGAGUAACACGUGGAUAACCUACCUAUAAGACUGGGAUAACUUCGGGAAACCGGAGCUAGUACCGGAUAAUAUUUUGAACCGCAUGGUUCAAAAGUGAAAGACGGUCUUGCUGUCACUUAUAGAUGGAUCCGCGCUGCAUUAGCUAGUUGGUAAGGUAACGGCUUACCAAGGCAACGAUGCAUAGCCGACCUGAGAGGGUGAUCGGCCACACUGGAACUGAGACACGGUCCAGACUCCUACGGGAGGCAGCAGUAGGGAAUCUUCCGCAAUGGGCGAAAGCCUGACGGAGCAACGCCGCGUGAGUGAUGAAGGUCUUCGGAUCGUAAAACUCUGUUAUUAGGGAAGAACAUAUGUGUAAGUAACUGUGCACAUCUUGACGGUACCUAAUCAGAAAGCCACGGCUAACUACGUG
rnacentral:rRNA from 1 species